CCCNCUGAUUGAAUAAUUGAAGGGCUGCAGUAUUUUGACUGUACAAAGGUAGCAUAAUCAUUAGUCUCUUAAUUGGUGACUUGUAUGAAGGAUUUGAUGAAAUAUAGACUGUCUCUUAAUAAGUUAUAAAAAUUAAUUUUUUAGUUAAAAAGCUAAAAUAUUUUUAAAAGACGAGAAGACCCUAUAGAGUUUUAUAAUUAAUGAAAUUUUUAUUUUUUAUAAAAUUUUUAAUUUUAAUUUUAUUAAUUAUUUUAUUGGGGUGAUAGAAAAAUUUAAUAAACUUUUUUUAAAUAAAAAUUAACAUUUAUAUAUGAUUAUAUGAUCCAUUUUUGAUGAUUAAAAGAAAAAAUUACCUUAGGGAUAACAGCGUAAUUUUUUUUUUUAGUUCAAAUAAAAAAAAAAGUUUGCGACCUCGAUGUUGGAUUAAGAUAAAAUUUAAAUGCAAAAGUUUAAAAUUUUUGAUCUGUUCNAUCAUUAAAA
rnacentral:rRNA from 1 species